CUUGCCUCCGCCGCGCUGCCAACAUGGCGCUUUCCCAGGGUCUGCUCUCUGCUCCAGUUUCACGUCUUGCUCUCCCUCCAGGGAUCUGAGCCACCUGACAAGACGGAUGAGGAACCGAGUAUCCACUGAAUUACCACGCUUGUGAUCCUAGCACCUGGAGGCUAAAGCAGGACAUCCCAAGUUCACAUCCAGGUAGGGCUACAAAGUGAAACUCUAAAUCACAAACCCAAAAGGCAAAACAAGGGAGA
rnacentral:lncRNA from 1 species